ensembl:lncRNA
UGAGAUUUGAAACGACCAAUUAGAGGUCAAGGAGUUGGCGCAGGAGUUAACAAUCUACUGAGCGUCGUUAGCAGCAGCUGUAGGUUGUUAACUCCUUGACCUCUAAUUGGUCGGUUCAAAUCUCAGGUAACUCUUAUAACCCUCCACAUUUAACAGCUUUUCAUGCAAUGUUCACCAACAUGUUGACAGCGCAGUUUGUUGCUGGGGCUUCCCUCUUUGCUCUGUUGUUUGUGGACAUUUGCUGCUUUCCUUAUAACCAAGGCUCAAAUCCCAGCGCUUCCCAUGUCAGCAGUUACUCACAAGCUGCUCCUGCUGUAAAUUCAAACCAGGGAGAUCAGUCUGUAGUUUGGCCCAAAGUUCCCAAAGGGGUCAUCAUGCAACGUAAUCCAACUCAACCACACGUGGGGCCCGGCAUCUCUUAUCCUACUGCUCAAAGAGGACCAGCACCAUCUGUUGGCCUCAGUUCUUCUUCUGGGCCCAUCUCCUCAGGCUUCAGGGACCCUUCAGUCAGGCAACUUCCUUUCAGCUCUGCACAACCAGGAUCUGCUUUUCAACCUGGUCCUGAAAGAAUCCACAUGGCUCCUCCCAAUCCUAACUCUGGAGGUGUGGGAGUGUCUGGUAUCCGUGACGUUGCUUCCAGUUUCCCUGAGGAAGUGAGUCCACCAACUGAAUCACCGUACAAAGCGGGAGAGCUCUCCCAGUUUGAUAGAAGCUUUGACUAUGGCAACAACGAGAUGGAGACUGAGCAACGCGGCAGUCGGCCUCCACCACCCUUCUUUGGUCCAGCGUCUGCUGGACAAGGUUUUGCAGGACCACUUCAGCCAAACACCAACAUUGGUUUAGGAUUUGACUUCUUUCCUUCCCCUUACUACGACUACAUGUUCCUGACUGGCCAGUAUCCUCCAGGCACCUUCAGUCAUACCAGCAGCAGCUAUAAUCAGGGGAGGGACUACUACGAAGACAUUCAGUAUGAGAGACCCGGUCGUGAGCAGCCGAUGGCGCCAGUCGCUGACUUUCAAUCCCCCCAGAGCAUCAAGGGUCCCAAUCCUCGGAUGGCUGGUUACAGGCAAGUUGGUGCAAAGGCCAAACCUGAUUCUUCCCACAGAGGCUUCAAGCCGGUUAGUGGCCAAGCUGGUGGCCGCAACCAAGUUAAGGUGGGGAUGCCUUCAGUGUACAAAGCCUUUUGAAUGCAAUAAAAGUUUUAAGAUGUCAACUUGACUGCUUUCCUUAUAUUUUUUUUUUGAUGUGCCAAAAUUAUGCAUGACAGGUUUAUUUGGAGAUGAAGAUUCAUACACCUGAACAUGGAUUAAUUUUAUAGAAUUUACUGGAAAAUGUUUACAGCUGUAGCAUUGGUAAUCUGUAUAAACUGCAUCCAGUUUGUGUUAUACAGCAUUUCUCAGUUGCUUUGGUACAUUUCUUGACUACUCUUUGACAUUUGCAAAAGGACGUGCAUUUUUCAAAAUUCGUACAAAUCUCAGAACACCACGAUUGCCUCCAAAAGCUCUUGCUCUCAGUUCAUCUCAAGUGAAAUCUGUCAGUGCCAUCCGAAUGAGUCAUUGUGUACGGAUCAAACUGUCAAAUUGCUUAGUUGUGUUGUCUGCCAAACCUUGUACUCUAGUGGUUUUGCUCUGGUGUAAAUGAUGGCAUUGUAAGUUACACCUUGGUGUCUGGGAGAUUGCAAGAGACUGGACAAGAUUCACUUUCCCACUUUUACGGUUUGUACUGUAAUGUGUUAACACUGUGUAGUCUUUUCCUUUCAGUAUUGUAAUGCCAAAAACCAGUGAACAUGGAACAAUCUCCUUCGGGAAGGCUGUAUAUCCUGUGUUGUAGGAAUUACAGUGCAGUCUUCCUACACCUUGUCGUGCCACAAAUUUUCAUCCACAUCACAACGAAUAUCUUUUGCGAUGCAGAUUGGAAAGAAUCUUUUAGACAGUCUCAUCCAGCCUCUGCUGUAAUGUCAUCACAGGGUCCAUCCAUGGUGGCCAGCAGGUCCAUCCAUGUGUCAUUUCUGGCGAUCACUUUCCAUCUCAAUGCUGAGAAAUUCCUCAACAGGGUUAAGUAAUGGGGAGUAGGAUGAGUAACUCCAUCAGCAUCCUGUUGUGGGUCGCUCACCGUUGCCGCGAUGGAAACCAACAUUGUCCCAAACUAUCACGUACUUUGGCAAGUCCUCUCCAAUCUGACCGCUCUUGUUCAGGCAUGAGAUCCCUUUGGAGUGUAAAAAGGUGACAAGACUAUUUGGCCCAAUGUGUGCAAAAGGUUGGCUGUUAUCUCAUCCGCAACACUCGUAUGUCCUUGGCCUCUUAACUCUGCCUCUUGUGUUUUGCCUCCCAACUCUUCCUCUUUGGCAGUUGACCACGUCCAAUUCCCGGUCCGUCCAUUGUCAGACAUUGUAACAUUGUGUUGUGCUUCAGCUAUGUAUACAGUAAACUUGCCCGUUGAUGGUUCAUGAGAUGCCCCUUCGUCAAGAUGUGAAGUCAAGAUUCACCUGGGAGCAAUUUACCAAUUUAGGACAGAUUUAGAAAAAACAUCUAAUGGAAAUGUAUAGAAAUCUGCUUGACAUGACAACUUGUUCAACCAUUUUGCAUGUAUAGACUUCUGUGAUGAACUAAUGCCUAAAUGUUGUGGGAGGUAAGACUUCAACAGGGACCCAUUAUAAUACAUUUUGAUCAACAUGACAUAAGCAAUUGAUAAUGUAGGAAACACAGAAUUGUACAUAAUCAUAACAUUCUGUAAGUACGGCUGUAGUAAAGUUUAAAACUAUUUCUCCCUGCUGUAGUGGUAGCACAUGAUUUUAUUUUAAUGGAAUAGUAUCAAAAGAUAUUAAUUGGCCAUGGUGCAUAACACUAAACUGCAUAACAAUAACUUUUGUACUGCUUGAAUAACUUUGUACUUUGAAGAAAAAAAACUUGAACAAUGGCUCUGCCACAAAAAAGACUGACAUUAGUCACACUGAAUAUU